rnacentral:snoRNA from 1 species
AUUCCAUGAUGAGGACAUUCUAGGAUAUAAUCUUGAAAGUGCUCCUAGGCUUGAUGACGACAUUCAUCACGUUGCUGUCGAAAACUUGAUAUUUUCCCAUGAUGGGC